CUCCUGGAAACGGGUGGUAAUGCCGGAUGUUCCACAUGAGCGCAUGCGAGUGUGGGAAAGGCUUUUGCGGCAUGGGAUGGGGUCGCGUCCUAUCAGCUUGUUGGUGGGGUAACGGCCUACCAAGGCGUUGACGGGUAGCCGGCCUGAGAGGGCGACCGGCCACAUUGGGACUGAGAUACGGCCCAGACUCCUACGGGAGGCAGCAGUGGGGAAUAUUGCACAAUGGGCGCAAGCCUGAUGCAGCGACGCCGCGUGCGGGAUGGAGGCCUUCGGGUUGUAAACCGCUUUUGUUCAAGGGCAAGGCACGGUUUCGGCCGUGUUGAGUGGAUUGUUCGAAUAAGCACCGGCUAACUACGUGCCAGCAGCCGCGGUAAUACGUAGGGUGCAAGCGUUAUCCGGAUUUAUUGGGCGUAAAGGGCUCGUAGGCGGUUCGUCGCGUCCGGUGUGAAAGUCCAUCGCUUAACGGUGGAUCCGCGCCGGGUACGGGCGGGCUUGAGUGCGGUAGGGGAGACUGGAAUUCCCGGUGUAACGGUGGAAUGUGUAGAUAUCGGGAAGAACACC
rnacentral:rRNA from 1 species